rnacentral:rRNA from 1 species
GACGAACGCUGGCGGCGUGCUUAACACAUGCAAGCCGAGCGGUAAGGCCCUUUCGGGGGUACACGAGCGGCGAACGGGUGAGUAACACGUGGGUGACCUGCCCUCAGCUCUGGGAUAAGCCUGGGAAACCGGGUCUAAUACCGGAUAUGACUCCAUGACGCAUGUUGUGGGGUGGAAAGCCUUGUGCGGCUGAGGAUGGGCCCGCGGCCUAUCAGCUUGUUGGUGGGGUGAUGGCCUACCAAGGCGACGACGGGUAGCCGGCCUGAGAGGGCGACCGGCCACACUGGGACUGAGACACGGCCCAGACUCCUACGGGAGGCAGCAGUGGGGAAUCUUGCGCAAUGGGCGAAAGCCUGACGCAGCGACGCCGCGUGAGGGAUGACGGCCU